UAAUUCAAAAAUCAAUAACUGUUAAUUUAUUUCAACAGAACUUUAGAAGACCACAAACCACAUAAAUUGAUUAGGGUGUAUUUGUUUCAGUUGAAACAAUUGGCUUGAAUAUAUAUUGUCUUACAUGGUCUAUAAAAAUAGCUUAGGAAAAGAAAAGGACACUCAUAAACAAAAGUCUAAACUGGAUUCAGUGGAUUACUGUGCUAGUUAUUGCAAACUCCCAAGUACCCAAGUUCCCCUCCCUUAUGACUUCAUCAAAGAAAAUUCUUCAAAUGUGCAUUCCAUGAACCUGGUUAGACAUCUUACAUAGUUUAGGUUGGAUUGUACAAAGAACCAUUGGAUCUCAUUUCUCAGCUAAUGUUUAUUGGUUUUUGGUUUGAGUGACAGAUGACAUGAUUCUCUUCAAAUCUAACUCUGCUAAAUUCUGAAAUGAAUCGAAUUCAAAGUAGCUUUUGAAUACUAUAAAAAUUAUCAAAGAAAUGAUCCACAGUAAAUUAUUCCCCACAGAAGCAAGCACAAAAAGAAAAGGAAAACAAAACUUUGAUUACCAUUAUGAUAACUUUCUCAAUAGUUGGCAUCGACUAUCAAUGGAACAAAUCUUUUUUUUGUUCCAAAAAUUAAUUAUUAUGUUGUAAAUCAUGUAAAUUUUUAGAAAAUAAUUUAUAUGCAUAAUAUGUACCAACCUAGAGGGAAACAUCUAUCCUAUUUGAUAGCUUAAAUUAGCUUUCAUAUUAUGAUAUUCUUUCAUUUAGGUAUUGGCUGAGAAGAAUAAACAUAAAUGUAGAGUUCCACUAUUUUAGGAUGAUUGAUCCGUGAAAUGAAAAAGAAGAGAUAGGAAAAAAGAAGGUAGAAAUAAGAUGAAAGAGAAUUGGAAUGAAAAAAUCCCUUAUUCUAUGCUAUAAUUUUAACGGUGUCACCAUUUCUGAAACACCAAUCAUUGUCAUACAUACAUACAUACCAACUUUACCUUCAUUCUCAAUUUUCACACGUAAAAUUAACAGCUGCAAAUGCAAAAACACACACAACUGACACCAUUGCAUGUUACAACCAUAUAUUCAUUCUGCUUUAGUACGAUCUGAAUUUGCAAACAGUGAACCUGAAAGCAAUCACCAGAUAGACAACUAAUCAAAAGAAUAACUUGGUAGUAAAAAAGACAAUGCCACCACUUUUGAGAGGAAUUAAUAAUUUAAUUUCAACACACUGAUCUUCAUCCUAUAUCAACUAGUUAGACAUUAUAUUUUAAACAACUUUUUGAAAGUAACUGUUAUAAAAGUUAACAACUUUUAAUUUUACAGUAAACAAAGAUCAAAUCACAUGCAGUGUAAAACAUGUCCCUCACUGAUCAUCACUGUUAACAUAUUAUAAUUUAGUUGUGAAUGAUGUUCAUUAGCCAUUUGUGCACCAGACAGCACAAGCUGGCUUGGAAGAAAAAACUUAUGAGGGAAUGAAGAAGUGAAUUGAAUGUGUAGGUUGAGAGUUGAGACAUGUCGAAGAUAAUAUAUUUAUCUUACUUUUCUUUGGUUUUUGUGCCUCAUUUGUUUGUUUGUGGAAAUUGUUAAACAUGUUAUCAUGUGCUCAUCACAGAAUGUUAAACACGGUUAAUAGUAUUAAAGUGAAGGUACCAAAGAAUUACUGUUUGUGUAAGAAAAGUGGAGUGAAAGAAGAGAGAGGUGUACGGUGAAAAGGAAGAAAAGAAAAGGAACCUUGUUGUCUGUAGGUCCAUUUUAGCCUACAUACUUGCGUGCCAUUUUGGGAGCUGUUUUAGCACAGUAACUUUUGUCUCCCUUUUACUUUUUUUUUCUUUCUGUAGGGAAGAUAAAUACUCUUUUUCAACUUUUAUUACUUCUAAUUACUCUAUUUUUUUAGAUAAAAGUUUAGGUGAGAUUAGUAUCAGAUACUCAUAAACAGAGAAAACUUUAAAAACUUCUGCAGAACUAUGUAUAAACUACUCACCAAUAAAGUUUUCACAUAAACAAGGUGAAUCAAUUUUAUGUCUUUGUAAGUAUGAGUUUGUUUCUUACCAACUACUAAUAUAUAGUAUGUUUUAACAUGUAAAUACACUAUUUUUUCCUUUUCAUAGAUGUUUGUAGUGUUUUUUUUAUUAUAGAAAACUAUGAUGUUUAUUUUCAAGAGAUUAAUAUGUUCAUUUUGUCAUGUAAAUGAGCAUGUCACCACUAAUUUAUCUCGUUUUUAACUAAGCUUUGAUGAAGGCCAGUUCUGAACACCUGUUAUUAUUCUUUAGAUUUCAUAAAAUAAAGAGUUUGAUUUGAAUAAUAAAGUUCUAAAUACUGAUAGUGAAAGUGUUCAGAUUUUCAUUUUUUCCAAGUGUUAGAGUCAAUAGUAUAAUAAGAUGCUCAAAACUAUUUUCACUGGCACUAAAACUCAGAUAGACGAAAAAUAUCCUGAAAGUUUUAUUUUGUAACCACUCAUUAUUACUAAAAGGUUCUGAACAUAAAAACAUAUAUAGGAUAUUUUCAAACUUAGUAAAGAGGUAUAUAACUAGAAGGACCAUAUAAAUAAAUGAUUAGAAGAACUAAUAUUUUUAACUCAAAAGAAACUUAAAUUAAUUAACACAAUAUGGAUCAAUAAAUGCAUAUAUUAUGGGUAGAGAUUACAUGAUUUAAACCAAUAGAAUUUGAGUUUAUGAAAAGGAUUGUGAAACAAAGAGUUUUGUUGUUCUAGCUCAAGGUAAAUGGACUUGAAUUAAUCUAAACAAAAGAUUACUGCAGUAAUGGUAACUUUUUUAAAGGAAAAUUUAUGUUAAGAUUAAUUUCAUAAUCAGUAUCAUUGCUCCCACACAUGUAGGGAUGUGCCCAUUUUUAACAUGGUAACUUUUUAAGGUUUUAUGGGUUAGUGCAAAAAAAAAAUGUUCAUCAAUUAAAAGCUGUCGUUAUAGUAUGACUUCAAAGUUAUUAUGGUAAAAAAAUUCUGACUUACCUUGACCUUUUUUUAUGGAAUAUCAAUCUAUAGACUUUCUAAUGGAAGAGUUUUUAGAACUUCUUUAAUGAGAAAAAAAAAACUCUACUUUGAAUAGAAAAAGUCUGAAAAGCUGAUCUCAUCUCAUCUAGUCUGUAUCCAAAGAGGCCUUAACACUGAAAUCUAUAAUAGGUUUAAAGGGCAACACAUUAUAACAUUAAUCCCCCCCUAUCCAAACCAGCCAAUCUCCAAUGUGUUGUUAAUCAAAAUAGAAGCUAGAAACAGCUACCUUAACUAAAUAAUCAGGGUAUAUUUCGUUAAGUGUAUCAAAUAAGACAUAAUUACACAACUGUGAAAACACAUACAAUAUGUUUAAUGAGUAGUUGCAUGACAAGAUUUCCAGAUCCAGAAAGCUGGCUGUGUUCUUUCCAACAUAUUGGUUUUGUCCAAGAAUGAACUAAUUAAAGUGUUAUGAUAUUACCAUGAUCAAUUUCAUCCACCAGCUUGUCUCUCCAUAUAUAGCUCUUGACAGUGAUAUAAACAGAUUACUAUAGUUUUAAGCACAAGCACUUACACCCUCAUUAAUUAGACUCAAUGAUAAUUUUCUAUAUAUAUGCAUCUACAGAGGUCUUCUCAUGCAAAAAAGUCGACAUGGAUUAAAAGCCACUGUACGGCAUGGGAAUUGGCACAACAAUUAAGAAAUUCCUCUCUUGCUUCAGUCAAAAUUGAUUUCAUUUUCAUUUUUGUUCUCAAAUAUAUAUUCCUUACUCAUUAAUUCAGCAAAAUCCAUGGAUAUAAAUAAAUGGAUCUCAUCCUUGGAAGUCCCAUAGUCCAUAUCAUGACGAACAGAAUCUCAGAAGUGUUCAGUUCUUGAGCUACCUCACAGUAAAAGCACUAACAACGUGUUUAAUGUUUCUUUCAUCUCUUAAUUGGAAACCGAUGCUUUUGCAGUUCCAAAACCAUACAGUUAGCAAAUUAAUGAAAACUCAAAAAAAUUCAUUAAUUUUUUCUAUCACUUGACCAAAAAAACUGGGUAAAAAUUUCAGCAUCUUAACUAAACUUCCCCAUAAUAUUUGUCAUGCUUUCAUUUCAUUUUGUUAGCCAUGGGCAUGAGCUAAAUGUCAUCACUAACUAGCUGUGGAGGAUCCUUUUACUAACAUUUGCUCCUAAGAUUCAAGUAAAUAUAUAUUUCUCAAUGGUAUUUUUAAGCCUCUCAAUCAAAUGCUGUUUGUAAUUUAAAAGCAGACUCUUAGAUCAAUGUGGAUUCCAUAUUGGAAUACUCCAAAACACAUUGAUUUACUUGGAAUAUUUUCAUAUUCUGCACAUUAGCAGAACUUUUAAUCUUGCCAGAUGUACUUUGAUCUUAAUAAUUUCACAAUCCUCUUGUCCACUGUGUGUUUGAGUGAGAGUUUGUGAUAGAUGUAUGGAUGUUAGAUUCUAAAAGCAAGUUAACAGUAAAAUUUCAUAUAAAAAAAUUACGUCCAAUGUUAUUCAAAGUUGUUUCAUUUCAACUCAAUUUAAUUUAGAAUUAGAAUCCAUUCUUCAACAUCAAACCAAACAUAAAUAUUUAUCUAACAUCGUGUUAGCUAGUAUUACAAUGUGAUUUUUCAUGAUUCAAAGUGAAUCCAAGCAUAACAAUCAGUAAUUUUCAAGGUAUUUUACAUAGAGAUAAUGUGCCCUUUCUUCUGUAUUCAUUCAUUUUCUUAGCAGUUACUAUUGUACAUCCUGGAUGGAACAUUGAAAAAAAGGUGAACAUUACUCAUGCUGCAUCUAAAUCUUUCUGCUUUCACACAAACGGAAUAUGUCAUCAUACUCAAGGCCUCUCUAGCAUUAGUUGUUCAUUCAACUAUCAAAGUAAACAACAACCAUCUCCUAGAUCUUCCCUUUCUGAAUGGAAAGAGAAUAUGGUUUGUGAGAUGAUUCAGAAAGACUCUAGCAUUGCCUCAAUAAAUGCCAAUCGUUUUUUUAUAUCUUUUUCCUAUCAGAAGCACACUUAUGAUGAUACUACUAACAUAUAUUCUUUAUUAUUGAUUCAAAUCUAUUGGAAAUCAGAAAAUUUAGUUAAUCAAACUUUCUAUUUAGUUAGUCUCAGUACUCCGGAUUUUAUAAACACUAACCAAUAAUAUAAAAUGUGUCGCUAUCAAUUCUCUAUCCUCGUUUAUAAAACGAUUUCCGCAGAAGGAUCCCAUGUUCAUGAUGGAGGUAUAGUUGGAAUUUAUUGUUACCUUCUUGCAGUAAUUUUGUGUUGCAGUUAUUUAUUUGAUCCUGGGGCUCGGUUGUGGGGGCUUCAAUGAACAGUGCUUGGACUGUAGAUUCUGUUUCACCAACCUUCAAAAAUAUCAAUCUCCUCCAACUUCCUCACCAGCCAGGAUCAUCAGGAAACAAACAGGAAAUGAAGUGACUUUCACAAAAACAUGCCCUUGAACUUGAUCUCAAUCUAUCAUCACAGGGAACAAAAAAACACCCUGAUAAAAAAAGAAAAUCUCAAAUAAAUAUAAAAAACCAGGUUGAAGAGAAAAAAUAAAACAAAAUUCAACACAAUCACCUGACCUGACACCUGCUUUGCUCAUUUUAGGAGUGAAAAUCAGUAAACCACAGUGUUACACACUCCAUCCCUCUCAAAAAUGAAAAUAAAAGCUCUUCCAGAAAAAGAAAAGGUGCUGAGCUAGAACUGCAAAUCCAUGUUUUUAUCACCAAGUUCAUACUCCAUCCGAGUAUUAAAUUAUAUUUCAUUUUCUUUACAGAAACAGUAGGAUGAUCCCUUGAUUAUGGAUUGGGACAGGUAUCAUAACAAAAUGAGGAAUUAAAUAUAUAUCAUCAUAUCAGUAAUCCAUAUAUGGUAAAGAAGUAGAAAAACACAAAAUAGAAAAUGUAAGAGUUUGCAAUCUAGAAAUGAAAUAUCAGUAUUAUAUGCACAUACCUAAAUAUAGAGAGAGUUGAGGAGGAUUGAGAGUGAGUUUGUGAGUAGAGAGACAGAAACAGAGAGGUAAGGUAAGAGCUGAAAAUUGGAAUUGGAAUUGGAAUUAGAAGGGUUGAUGCAAAGCAAAGGAAACCAAAGUGUGAGAUUAGAUUAGAAAAUAGUAGAGAAAGAGAGAGAGAGA
rnacentral:lncRNA from 1 species